rnacentral:rRNA from 1 species
CGGUAAACGGCGGCCGUAACUAUACCGGUCCUAAGGUAGCGAAAUUCCUUGUCGGGUAAGUUCCGACCUGCACGAAUGGCGUAAUGAUGGCCAGGCUGUCUCCACCCGAGACUCAGUGAAAUUGAACUCGCUGUGAAGAUGCAGUGUACCCGCGGCUAGACGGAAAGACCCCGUGAACCUUUACUAUAGCUUGACACUGAACAUUGAGCCUUGAUGUGUAGGAUAGGU